AGCACAGAGAGCUUGCUCUCGGGUGACGAGCGGCGGACGGGUGAGUAAUGUCUGGGAAACUGCCUGAUGGAGGGGGAUAACUACUGGAAACGGUAGCUAAUACCGCAUAACGUCGCAAGACCAAAGUGGGGGACCUUCGGGCCUCAUGCCAUCAGAUGUGCCCAGAUGGGAUUAGCUAGUAGGUGGGGUAACGGCUCACCUAGGCGACGAUCCCUAGCUGGUCUGAGAGGAUGACCAGCCACACUGGAACUGAGACACGGUCCAGACUCCUACGGGAGGCAGCAGUGGGGAAUAUUGCACAAUGGGCGCAAGCCUGAUGCAGCCAUGCCGCGUGUGUGAAGAAGGCCUUCGGGUUGUAAAGCACUUUCAGCGGGGAGGAAGGCGUUAAGGUUAAUAACCUUGUCGAUUGACGUUACCCGCAGAAGAAGCACCGGCUAACUCCGUGCCAGCAGCCGCGGUAAUACGGAGGGUGCAAGCGUUAAUCGGAAUUACUGGGCGUAAAGCGCACGCAGGCGGUCUGUCAAGUCGGAUGUGAAAUCCCCGGGCUCAACCUGGGAACUGCAUUCGAAACUGGCAGGCUAGAGUCUUGUAGAGGGGGGUAGAAUUCCAGGUGUAGCGGUGAAAUGCGUAGAGAUCUGGAGGAAUACCGGUGGCGAAGGCGGCCCCCUGGACAAAGACUGACGCUCAGGUGCGAAAGCGUGGGGAGCAAACAGGAUUAGAUACCCUGGUAGUCCACGCCGUAAACGAUGUCGAUUUGGAGGUUGUGCCCUUGAGGCGUGGCUUCCGGAGCUAACGCGUUAAAUCGACCGCCUGGGGAGUACGGCCGCAAGGUUAAAACUCAAAUGAAUUGACGGGGGCCCGCACAAGCGGUGGAGCAUGUGGUUUAAUUCGAUGCAACGCGAAGAACCUUACCUGGUCUUGACAUCCACAGAACUUUCCAGAGAUGGAUUGGUGCCUUCGGGAACUGUGAGACAGGUGCUGCAUGGCUGUCGUCAGCUCGUGUUGUGAAAUGUUGGGUUAAGUCCCGCAACGAGCGCAACCCUUAUCCUUUGUUGCCAGCGGUUAGGCCGGGAACUCAAAGGAGACUGCCAGUGAUAAACUGGAGGAAGGUGGGGAUGACGUCAAGUCAUCAUGGCCCUUACGACCAGGGCUACACACGUGCUACAAUGGCAUAUACAAAGAGAAGCGACCUCGCGAGAGCAAGCGGACCUCAUAAAGUAUGUCGUAGUCCGGAUUGGAGUCUGCAACUCGACUCCAUGAAGUCGGAAUCGCUAGUAAUCGUAGAUCAGAAUGCUACGGUGAAUACGUUCCCGGGCCUUGUACACACCGCCCGUCACACCAUGGGAGUGGGUUGCAAAAGAAGUAGGUAGCUUA
rnacentral:rRNA from 1 species